rnacentral:rRNA from 1 species
AUUGAACGCUGGCGGCAGGCCUAACACAUGCAAGUCGAACGGUAACAGGAAGCAGCUUGCUGCUUUGCUGACGAGUGGCGGACGGGUGAGUAAUGUCUGGGAAACUGCCCGAUGGAGGGGGAUAACUACUGGAAACGGUAGCUAAUACCGCAUAACGUCGCAAGACCAAAGAGGGGGACCUUAGGGCCCCUUGCCAUCGGAUGUGCCCAGAUGGGAUUAGCUAGUAGGUGGGGUAACGGCUCACCCAGGCGACGAUCCCUAGCUGGUCUGAGAGGAUGACCAGCCACACUGGAACUGAGACACGGUCCAGACUCCUACGGGAGGCAGCAGUGGGGAAUAUUGCACAAUGGGCGCAAGCCUGAUGCAGCCAUGCCGCGUGUAUGAAGAAGGCCUUCGGGUUGUAAAGUACUUUCAGCGGGGAGGAAGGGAGUAAAGUUAAUACCUUGGCUCAUUGACGUUACCCGCAGAAGAAGCACCGGCUAACUCCGUG